rnacentral:rRNA from 1 species
CCAUCACCUCUAGCAUUACCAGUAUUAGAGGCACUGCCUGCCCAGUGACAUGCGUUUAACGGCCGCGGUAUCCUGACCGUGCAAAGGUAGCAUAAUCAUUUGUUCCUUAAAUAGGGACUUGUAUGAAUGGCUUCACGAGGGUUAAACUGUCUCUUACUUUCAAUCAGUGAACUUGACCUUCCCGUGAAGAGGCGGGAAUGACACAAUAAGACGAGAAGACCCUAUGGAGCUUAAAUCUAUUUAGCUUAAGCAUUACCAUUUCCUCCUGACAAGGAUUAAUAAAUCUGCCUAUAAGCUUAAGAUUUUGGUUGGGGUGACCUCGGAGCACAAAUCAACCUCCGAAUGAUUUUAGCCUUGACUUGACCAGUCUAAGCACCUAUUCAUUAAUUGACCCAAACUUAUUGAUCAACGGAACAAGUUACCCUAGGGAUAACAGCGCAAUCCUACCCAAGAGUCCAUAUCGACAGUAGGGUUUACGACCUCGAUGUUGGAUCAGGACAUCCAAGUGGUGUAACCGCUACUAAUGGUUCGUUUGUUCAACGAUUA